rnacentral:rRNA from 1 species
AUUGAACGCUGGCGGCAUGCCUUACACAUGCAAGUCGAACGGCAGCACGGGUGCUUGCACCUGGUGGCGAGUGGCGAACGGGUGAGUAAUACAUCGGAACGUACCUUAUCGUGGGGGAUAACGCAGCGAAAGCUGUGCUAAUACCGCAUACGCCCUGAGGGGGAAAGCGGGGGAUCGAAAGACCUCGCGCGAUUAGAGCGGCCGAUGCCUGAUUAGCUUGUUGGUGGGGUAAAAGCCCACCAAGGCGACGAUCAGUAGCUGGUCUGAGAGGACGAUCAGCCACACUGGGACUGAGACACGGCCCAGACGCCUACGGGAGGCAGCAGUGGGGAAUUUUGGACAAUGGUGGCAACCCUGAUCCAGCAAUGCCGCGUGGGUGAAGAAGGCCUUCGGGUUGUAAAGCUCUUUUGUCAGGGAAGAAACACCGGCUCUAACACAGUCCGGGAAUGACGGUACCUGAAGAAUAAGCACCGGCUAACUACGUGCCAGCAGCCGCCGUAA